GACAAACGCUGGCGGCGUGCUUAACACAUGCAAGUCGAACGGAAAGGCCCUGCUUUUGUGGGGUGCUCGAGUGGCGAACGGGUGAGUAACACGUGAGUAACCUGCCCUUGACUUUGGGAUAACUUCAGGAAACUGGGGCUAAUACCGGGUAGGAGCUCCUGCUGCAUGGUGGGGGUUGGAAAGUUUCGGCGGUUGGGGAUGGACUCGCGGCUUAUCAGCUUGUUGGUGGGGUAGUGGCUUACCAAGGCUUUGACGGGUAGCCGGCCUGAGAGGGUGACCGGCCACAUUGGGACUGAGAUACGGCCCAGACUCCUACGGGAGGCAGCAGUGGGGAAUAUUGCACAAUGGGCGGAAGCCUGAUGCAGCAACGCCGCGUGCGGGAUGACGGCCUUCGGGUUGUAAACCGCUUUCGCCUGUGACGAAGCGUGAGUGACGGUAAUGGGUAAAGAAGCACCGGCUAACUACGUG
rnacentral:rRNA from 1 species